GAAGAGGAAGUGAGAUUUGGCAGAUUACUGGUUCCGGUUCAAUCUUCUGAACCAACCGCGAAACCUUCGCCAAUCGAUGAUAUCCGUAAUGGAUUGUCUUCUUAUUCUCGCAGUCGGGGCAUCUCUGCCGGUUGAGGGCACCGGCCUUCCUCCGGUGGAGCUCUGCCUUGUUCUGACACCAACAACAAGCACUGAUUACCUGCGUUGCGUUUGCGUGACGCAUCCACAGAUCCGAUAGAGUUUGGAUUCCGCACAAGGGUUCUUCAACCCUUAAAUAGCCGCGUAUUCAAACUAGCCGAUCAUACGCUCCUUGCCUUCGUCACAUCCGUUCCAUCCAAGCAGUGUGGAAGAGGAAGUGAGAUUUGGCAGAUUACUGGUUCCGGUUCAAUCUUCUGAACCAACCGCGAAACCUUCGCCAACCGAUGAUAUCCGUAAUGGAUUGUCUUCUUAUUCUCGCAGUCGGGGCAUCUCUGCCGGUUGAGGGCACCGGCCUUCCUCCGGUGGAGCUCUGCCUUGUUCUGACACCAACAAGCACUGAUUACCUGCGUUGCGUUUGCGUGACGCAUCCACAGAUCCGACAGAGUUUGGAUUUCGUCAGUCAGUGAUCUGUCUGGCCCUCAUCGACUCUGCCUUGUUGAUCAUCACUGAUUAUAGCCCACACGAAAAUCGACCCUUGAACUUGUUUGGAAUAAUAUUCCCUGUUGAAUAUCAUAGUCGAUGGAUUAAUUCUAUCGGUGUUGCAGUUUUGACCUAAACAAACGGCCCUUUUCAGGGCCACCAAUAUGUUAAAGAGUUGACGAAUAAAUAUAUUCCCUAGCAAAUAAAUUAUAAACCCAAAACUGCUGCACAAUAUCGUACCCUAAAUGUUACAAAUACGUAAUUAGAAAUUAUAAAUGUUGAG